rnacentral:rRNA from 1 species
UGAACGCUGGCGGCAGGCCUAACACAUGCAAGUCGAGCGGUAGCACAGAGAGCUUGCUCUCGGGUGACGAGCGGCGGACGGGUGAGUAAUGUCUGGGAAACUGCCUGAUGGAGGGGGAUAACUACUGGAAACGGUAGCUAAUACCGCAUAAUGUCGCAAGACCAAAGUGGGGGACCUUCGGGCCUCAUGCCAUCAGAUGUGCCCAGAUGGGAUUAGCUAGUAGGUGGGGUAACGGCUCACCUAGGCGACGAUCCCUAGCUGGUCUGAGAGGAUGACCAGCCACACUGGAACUGAGACACGGUCCAGACUCCUACGGGAGGCAGCAGUGGGGAAUAUUGCACAAUGGGCGCAAGCCUGAUGCAGCCAUGCCGCGUGUGUGAAGAAGGCCUUCGGGUUGUAAAGCACUUUCAGCGGGGAGGAAGGCGUUAAGGUUAAUAACCUUGGCGAUUGACGUUACCCGCAGAAGAAGCACCGGCUAACUCCGUGCCAGCAGCCGCGGUAAUACGGAGGGUGCAAGCGUUAAUCGGAAUUACUGGGCGUAAAGCGCACGCAGGCGGUCUGUCAAGUCGGAUGUGAAAUCCCCGGGCUCAACCUGGGAACUGCAUUCGAAACUGGCAGGCUAGAGUCUUGUAGAGGGGGGUAGAAUUCCAGGUGUAGCGGUGAAAUGCGUAGAGAUCUGGAGGAAUACCGGUGGCGAAGGCGGCCCCCUGGACAAAGACUGACGCUCAGGUGCGAAAGCGUGGGGAGCAAACAGGAUUAGAUACCCUGGUAGUCCACGCCGUAAACGAUGUCGAUUUGGAGGUUGUGCCCUUGAGGCGUGGCUUCCGGAGCUAACGCGUUAAAUCGACCGCCUGGGGAGUACGGCCGCAAGGUUAAAACUCAAAUGAAUUGACGGGGGCCCGCACAAGCGGUGGAGCAUGUGGUUUAAUUCGAUGCAACGCGAAGAACCUUACCUGGUCUUGACAUCCACAGAACUUUCCAGAGAUGGAUUGGUGCCUUCGGGAACUGUGAGACAGGUGCUGCAUGGCUGUCGUCAGCUCGUGUUGUGAAAUGUUGGGUUAAGUCCCGCAACGAGCGCAACCCUUAUCCUUUGUUGCCAGCGGUUCGGCCGGGAACUCAAAGGAGACUGCCAGUGAUAAACUGGAGGAAGGUGGGGAUGACGUCAAGUCAUCAUGGCCCUUACGACCAGGGCUACACACGUGCUACAAUGGCAUAUACAAAGAGAAGCGACCUCGCGAGAGCAAGCGGACCUCAUAAAGUAUGUCGUAGUCCGGAUUGGAGUCUGCAACUCGACUCCAUGAAGUCGGAAUCGCUAGUAAUCGUAGAUCAGAAUGCUACGGUGAAUACGUUCCCGGGCCUUGUACACACCGCCCGUCACACCAUGGGAGUGGGUUGCAAAAGAAGUAGGUAGCUUAACCUUCGGGAGGGCGCUUACCACUUUGUGAUUCAUGACUGGGGUGAAG